rnacentral:lncRNA from 1 species
GAGCCAAGAUCACCCCCCUGCACUCCAGCCUGGGCGACAGAGCAAGACUCCAUCUCACAAGACAAAACAAAACAAAACAAACAAAAAAACCCCUAGGUCUUGUGGCAUGCACUAGCGGUACCAGCUACUCAGGGGCUGAGUCAGGAGGAUCACCUAAGCCCAAGGAAUGGAGGUUCCAUCAUGAUCUUGCCACUGUACUCCAGCCUGGGUGACAGAGCAAAAUCCUGUCUCAAAGAACCAACAAACAAAAAGAAAAAAAAAUACUCUUGCUUCCCAGAGUUUGGGGUGACUUUUUUUUUUUAAGACAGGGUCUCACUGUGUCACCUAGGCUGGAGUGCAGUGGUGCGAUCAUGGCUCACUGCAGCCUUGACCUCCCAGGCUCAGGUGAUUCUUCAAGAGUUUGGGGUGACUGAUUUUAUCUGGGGGUGACUGUGAAGCAGGAAUGCUUCUUGGAAGGAUCUUACUCAGCAGAGAAGGAAACUGCAGGGCUGAAGAGGCAAACGGGACACAUUUGGGAAGGGCCACAAAUGUGUCCCUUGGGAAAAAGUGGACAGCUGCAUGGAAAAAUUCUCCUCAAAAAGAAUAGGAGGCUGGGCGCGGUGGCUCACACCUGUAAUUCUAGCACUUUGAGAGGCCGAGGCGGGUGGAUCACUU